GGGGGAACGGUUCCAGGCUCCAAGCUAUCAGACAUUGGAAGCAUAGAAAGGGUAAUCUGAAUUCAGGAUUGAGAGCGGGGGUUCGAGUCCCCCACCCCCACCA
rnacentral:tRNA from 1 species